GACGUAGGGCGCGAGCGUUGUCCGGAUUUAUUGGGCGUAAAGAGCUCGUAGGCGGCUUGUCGCGUCGAAUGUGAAAUCUCAGGGCUCAACUCUGACAUUGCAUUCGAUACGGGCAGGCUAGAGUUCGGUAGGGGAGACUGGAAUUCCUGGUGUAGCGGUGAAAUGCGCAGAUAUCAGGAGGAACACCGAUGGCGAAGGCAGGUCUCUGGGCUGAUACUGACGCUGAGGAGCGAAAGCGUGGGGAGCGAACAGG
rnacentral:rRNA from 1 species